ACAAAUAUUUAUCUGUGAUUAAUUAAUAACCAUGUGUCGUCGUUUGGCCAUCAUUUGCUUGGUCCUUGUUUCUCUCUUUGGUCUUCAUAAAUGUGUAAUCAUAAAAAGACCAGAGGUGAUCGGAUCGAGCAAGCUGUUCAUACCGCCAUGCAUUAGAGAGAAUUGUCACUCUGUCUGGAGGCGAGACUGCUACUGUUGCAUGGGGGAAGUAGUGAAACUGUGCUGGGAGCACAAAGACACGUGCUGGGCGCUGUGUCCGUCCCUUCACACCCCUCCUCCCCUCCCCUCCCCAUGAGUCCAAGGCUUUGACUCAGAAUUCUUCAUCUAUCUAUCUUUACAAACUUAUCUUUUCUUCAUAUAUAAUAAUGACAAGUUCAAUCACAAAUUUACUCAUCUAUGCGAGAUUUAAGGCGUGAUUGGAAAAAUGAUUGUUGGAAUCGCAAUCGUC